AUUGAACACUGGCGGAAUGCUUUACACAUGCAAGUCGAACGGCAGCACGGACUUCGGUCUGGUGGCGAGUGGCGAACGGGUGAGUAAUGUAUCGGAACGUGCCCAGUCGUGGGGGAUAACGUAGUGAAAAUUACGCUAAUACCGCAUACGAUCUAUGGAUGAAAGCGGGGGAUCGCAAGACCUCGCGCGAUUGGAGCGGCCGAUAUCAGAUUAGGUAGUUGGUGGGGUAAAGGCCCACCAAGCCAACGAUCUGUAGCUGGUCUGAGAGGACGACCAGCCACACUGGAACUGAGACACGGUCCAGACUCCUACGGGAGGCAGCAGUGGGGAAUAUUGGACAAUGGGCGAAAGCCUGAUUCAGCCAUUCCGCGUGCAGGAUGAAGGCCCUCGGGAUGUAAACUGCUUUUGUACAGAACGAAAAGGUUUCUACUAAUACUAGGAGCUCAUGACGGUACUGUAAGAAUAAGCACCGGCUAACUACGUGCCAGCCGCCGCAGUAA
rnacentral:rRNA from 1 species